rnacentral:tRNA from 1 species
GUCGCUUUGGCCGAGUGGUUAAGGCAUGUGCCUGCUAAGUACAUCUCUCAGGCGACG